AGUGAACGUUGGCGGCGUGGAUUAGGCAUGCAAGUCGAGCGAGAACCGUAGCAAUACGGGGAAAGCGGCGAAAGGGACAGUACUGUGUAGGUACCUACCCCGGGGUCUGGGAUAGCUGCGGGAAACUGCAGGUAAUACCGGAUAAUGUCUUCGGACCAAAGGUGUGAUUCCACCUUGGGAGGGGCAUGCAUCCUAUUAGCGUGUUGGCGGGGUAACGGACCACAAAGGCAACGAUGGGUAGCGGGUGGGAGAGCACGACCCGCGUCCUUGGGACUGAGAUACUGCCCAGACACCUACGGGUGGCUGCAGUCGAGGAUCUUCGGCAAUGGGCGAAAGCCUGACCGAGCGACGCCGCGUGCGGGAUGAGGGCCUUCGGGUUGUAAACCGCUGUCGUAGGGGAGGAAAUUCAGGAGGGUUCUCCCUUCUGUUUGACCUAUUCUAGGAGGAAGGACGGGCUAAGUUCGUGCCAGCAGCCGCCGUAA
rnacentral:rRNA from 1 species